GUUCUUGCUUCGGCAGAACAUAUACUAAAAAUUGGAACGAUACAGAGAAGAUUAGCACAGCCCCUGCGCAAGGAUGACACGAAAAAUCGUGAAGCGUUCCACAUUUUU